AGUUUUUCAGGUUUGCAUCCAGCUAUAUGAUACUCUGUUGUGCAAAUCCAUGCAAAACUGA
rnacentral:pre_miRNA from 1 species